rnacentral:rRNA from 1 species
UACGGGGGGGGCAAGCGUUGUUCGGAAUUACUGGGCGUAAAGGGCUCGUAGGCGGCCAACUAAGUCGGAUGUGAAAUCCCCAGGCUUAACCUGGGAACUGCAUCCGAUACUGGAUGGCUUGAAUCCGGGAGAGGGAUGCAGAAUUCCAGGUGUAGCGGUGAAAUGCGUAGAUAUCUGGAGGAAUACCGGUGGCGAAGGCGACAUCCUGGACCGGCAUUGACGCUGAUGAGCGAAAGCUAGGGGAGCAAACGGG